GAGAUUCGUUUAUAUCAUAUCAAGACGCGGUAUCUACACGGAAAAAUUCUAAUUUUUCUUCUUACAAAGGUUCAUAAAAAUUCGUUCAACAUUAUAACAUUAUUUGACUUAAAACAUGUGGAGAUAAUUUCAAGUUGAUCGUUACUUUCUUGAUAUAUUAUCUUUGGAUUUUCCUAUAUAUAAUUUCACCAUUAUUCUCUUGGUAUAUACACACAUAAAAAAAAAAAAAUAAUAACAUACAAAAUGGAGAGAGAAAAAGAAUGACCUUAAAUAGGGCCAACCAAAAAGCGAGGAAUGCCAACAUUAAGACUACGCUGGCCUGACUUAUCCAGAAAACGAAUAGCUCACCAUUCUUUACGACAUGAGAACUUUUCUCAUGGUGUUUGAUUGCGAGGAAAAACAUGUUUCGGUGUGGCCAUCUACCCAAGAGGCAAAAUCACUCACCGAGAGUUACUACUCUUUGACCGAAAAUGAAAGGAACAAGAGGGCUGUUGAUCCAGACUCAUUCAUCCAGGCCAAUAUCCAAAAGAUUGAGAAGAAAAUAGCCAAUACUAUGUAGGCUAUCGAAGAGUUGGAGAGGGAUCAUCUCUUGUCGGAACUCAAUCGUGGUCUUCAAGGUUUAUAAGUUUUAUAAAGAAUUCCAAAAAAUGGUUGAGAUUAAGUCUUUGGGAAACAAUGCGUUUGUUAUGGCUAUUGAUACUUGAUUCUCGGUUUCGGCACGUGAAUUUAAAAAAUGUCUUGAAAACUCUAUUUAAUUCACCAAUGUAAUGACAUAUGAUGGUAUUCAAGGUAGACAAUGUUAAUGGAAGUAGUAUUGAGACAAUGUCUGAGUUUUCUAAGGGUUGUUUCCAAAUAUUUAUUCCUAAUUUUCUCUUAAUCUUGUUUAGGUCAUAUCUACUUUCUUUGUAAUCCUAAAUAAAAAUUAAAAAGCCCUCUAUAAUUUCUCUUCACUUUUGUUUAGAUAAAGCGUAUAAUCAUGAAGAUGUAUAAUAUCAAGCACGAGUACUUCUAUUUGGUGACCAUACCUGUACCGGGGACCUUUUUGAAACGAGAACUCUAUAGGGAUUAUAUGGGGCCGUCUUUGGAGGAAAAUAACUUCGAAAUUUUGAUAGUUUCACUAAAUUCAUUUCAUUCCUAGCACUCUUAUGAUAAGCAUAUAUUUUUUUUUUGUUUUUCUACUUUUUAAAGGAUUUCCCCUCUUUACUUUUUUCUAUUAUUUUUUCUAAUCACUUUUCACUCUAGAUUUAUUUUUAAUUUUUUUAUUGAGUUACCCAUGCCGUAGCCAUAUCUAUUAAUUUUGAUCUUGCCAUUUUCUGUACCCGUUUCCGUACUCUUUUCUAGUUCUCGUACUCAGUUUAGUGCUACUUGAAACUCUUCAGUUGACAAUGAAAUGACUAUGCAGGGUCAUCAUCAGUUGGGUUUGUGUCCUUAUUGAUUGGUGAUGGGUGUAAGUGUCAUGGCAACAUCAUUCACAUUUUUGGGCAUUCUUUAGGAUGUGCUAUCGCCUCGUUACUGGGAAUUUGAGUAUUUUUCUAUUAAUAAAAGGUUGUAUACUUUCAUUGAACUUAACUUUCAUUUCUGAUUAUUUUCCUCUCUUUUUUUGUCAUGGUAGCUUCGUUGCAGAUUUCAUAAGCGAUAUGUAUAUGUUAUAUACCACUAGCGAGUUAAAAAAUAAAUACCUAAAACACAUGAUUAAUCUACUACAAUAAUGUUUUAGCGUNNNNNNNNNNNNNNNNNNNNNNNNNNNNNNNNNNNNNNNNNNNNNNNNNNNNNNNNNNNNNNNNNNNNNNNNNNNNNNNNNNNNNNNNNNNNNNNNNNNNUGUUCAGUAUUUAUCCUCUAUAUUGUCAUUCAGUUAUUUCAUCAUUCCAUUAAACAUACCACUUGGGCCUUAUGUAAAUUUAGUCAAUUUUAGUAUCAGAAAAAUCUACUCAUCUUUUGUUUUCGAAAGAGGAAAAAAAAAUCUUGUCAAUUCAUAACAAAUUUUCCAUACAAAGUGUGAAAAAUGAUAAUCAUGAAUGCUAUUAAUGGUAAAAAAUCCAAUGGAAUAAGAAAUGAAUAAAAUUUAUUUGCUAAUAUAUUCAAGAAAGUUGGAAGUUUAUCAAACGUUCCCAUUAUUAAUUGACUUGAUUAAAACAAACUAACAAAGCCCUCAAGGUCUUAUCUCUAAGAGAUGUCUCGUUGACACUCAUGGGAUCAAAAUCCAUCUCAAUCCUAAAAGACAUAACUUUUUUACCACCUUAUGAAAGAAAUUCAUUGGGCUUGGUUUUGCAUAGGUUAUCAAGUUCACAACCACAGUUGAUUUCCUACAUGAGAUGAUCUAUCUCCAAUUCCUUGAUAGCCUUCAGAGUAUCGGCUAUUUUCCUAUCAAUCUUUUUGAUACUUGUGAGGCUACUAAGGAGUUGGAGAUGAGCCGUCUGAUGUUGAACUCAACCGUGGUCAUGUACGUGCUAACCUUUGCGUAACCGAGAUUGAAAAAUUGCUAUCAUAUACUGCUAAGAAAGUUAUGUCUUUCAAGAAUGAGAUGGAUCUUGAUUCUAUAAAUGUCGACGAGGCUUAUCUUCGAGAUGCAGCCUUGAGGGCUUCCAAUGUUCCAUCUCCUGGGUGGCGGCGGAAUAGUUCUAACGUGAUUAAAACUGCAACGGUCUAUUAGUAUGAUAAUUGGGGGGUCUCUCAUGAGAUUCGUUUAUAUCAUAUCAAGACGCGGUAUCUACACGGAAAAAUUCUAAUUUUUCUUCUUACAAAGGUUCAUAAAAAUUCGUUCAACAUUAUAACAUUAUUUGACUUAAAACAUGUGGAGAUAAUUUCAAGUUGAUCGUUACUUUCUUGAUAUAUUAUCUUUGGAUUUUCCUAUAUAUAAUUUCACCAUUAUACUCUUGGUAUAUACACACAUAAAAAAAAAUAACAUACAAAAUGGAGAGAGAAAAAGAAUGACAUUGAAUAGGGCCAACCAAAAAGCGAGGAAUGCCAACAUUAAGACUACGCUGGCCUGACUUAUCCAGAAAACGAAUUAGCUCACCAUUCUUUACGACAUGAGAACUUUUCUCAUGGUGUUUGAUUGCGAGGAAAAACAUGUUUCGGUGUGGCCAUCCACCCAAGAGGCAAAAUCACUCACAGAGAGUUACUACUCUUUGACCGAAAAUGAAAGGAACAAGAGGGCUGUUGAUCCAGCCUCAUUCAUCCAGGCCAAUAUCCAAAAGAUUGAGUAGAAAAUAGCCAAUACUAUGUAGGCUAUCAAAGAGUUGGAGAGGGAUCAUCUCUUGUCGGAACUCAAUCGUGGUCUUCAAGGUUUAUAAGNNNNNNNNNNNNNNNNNNNNNNNNNNNNNNNNNNNNNNNNNNNNNNNNNNNNNNNNNNNNNNNNNNNNNNNNNNNNNNNNNNNNNNNNNNNNNNNNNNNNAAAUAAAAAUUAAAAACCCCUCUAUAAUUUCUCUUCACUUUUUUUUAGACAAAGCGUAUAAUCAUGAAGAUGUAUAAUAUCAAGCACGAGUACUUCUAUUUGGUGACCAUACCUGUACCGGGGACCUUUUUGAAACGAGAACUCUAUAGGGAUUAUAUGGGGCCGUCCUUGGAGGAAAAUAACUUCGAAAUUUUGAUACUUUCACUAAAUUCAUUUCAUUCCUAGCACUCUUAUGAUAAGCAUAUAUUUUUUUUUUUCUACUUUUUAAAGGAUUUCCCCUCUUUACUUUUUUCUAUUAUUUUUUCUAAUCACUUUUCACUCUAGAUUUAUUUUUAAUUUUUUUAUUGAGUUACCCAUGCCGUAGCCAUAUCUAUUAAUUUUGAUCUUGCCAUUUUCUGUACCCGUUUCCGUACUCUUUUCUAGUUCUCGUACUCAGUUUAGUGCUACUUGAAACUCUUCAGUUGACAAUGAAAUGACUAUGCAGGGUCAUCAUCAGUUGGGUUUGUGUCCUUAUUGAUUGGUGAUGGGUGUAAGCUAAGUGUCAUGGCCACAUCAUUCACAUUUUUGGGCAUUCUUUAGGAUGUGCUAUCGCCUCGUUACUGGGAAUUUGAAUAUUUUUCUAUUAAUAAAAGGUUGUAUACUUUCAUGGAACUUAACUUUCAUUUCUGAUUAUUUUCCUCUCUUUUUUUGUCAUAGUAGCUUCUUUGCAGAUUUCAUAAGCGAUAUGUAUAUGUGAUGAGCAAUAAAGUGACCUNNNNNNNNNNNNNNNNNNNNNNNNNNNNNNNNNNNNNNNNNNNNNNNNNNNNNNNNNNNNNNNNNNNNNNNNNNNNNNNNNNNNNNNNNNNNNNNNNNNNUCGAAAGAGGAAAAAAAAAUCUUGUCAAUUCAUAACAAAUUUUCCAUACAAAGUGUGAAAAAUGAUAAUCAUGAAUGCUAUUAAUGGUAAAAAAUCCAAUGGAAUAAGAAAUGAAUAAAAUUUAUUUGCUAAUAUAUUCAAGAAAGUUGGAAGUUUAUCAAACGUUCCCAUUAUUAAUUGACUUGAUUAAAACAAACUAACAAAGCCCUCAAGGUCUUAUCUCUAAGAGAUGUCUCGUUGACACUCAUGGGAUCAAAAUCCAUCUCAAUCCUAAAAGACAUAACUUUUUUACCACCUUAUGAAAGAAAUUCAUUGGGCUUGGUUUUGCAUAGGUUAUCAAGUUCACAACCACAGUUGAUUUCCUACAUGAGAUGAUCUAUCUCCAAUUCCUUGAUAGCCUUCAGAGUAUCGGCUAUUUUCCUAUCAAUCUUUUUGAUACUUGUGAGGCUAUUAAGGAGUUGGAGAUGAGUCGUCUGAUGUUGAACUCAACUGUGGUCAUGUACGUGCUAACCUUUGCGUAACCGAGAUUGACAAAUUGCUAUCAUAUACUGCUAAGAAAGUUAUGUCUUUCAAGAAUGAGAUGGAUCUUGAUUCUAUAAAUGUCGACGAGGCAUAUCUUCGAGAUGCAGCCUUGAGGGCUUCCAAUGUUCUAUCUCCUGGGUGGCGGCGGAAUAGUUCUAACGUGAUUAAAACUGCAACGGUCUAUUAGUAUGAUAAUUGGGGGGUCUCUCAUGAGAUUCGUUUAUAUCAUAUCAAGACGCGGUAUCUACACGGAAAAAUUCUAAUUUUUCUUCUUACAAAGGUUCAUAAAAAUUCGUUCAACAUUAUAACAUUAUUUGACUUAAAACAUGUGGAGAUAAUUUCAAGUUGAUCGUUACUUUCUUGAUAUAUUAUCUUUGGAUUUUCCUAUAUAUAAUUUCACCAUUAUUCUCUUGAUAUAUACACACAUAAAAAAAAAAAUAAUAAUAACAUACAAAAUGGAGAGAGAAAAAGAAUGACCUUGAAUAGGGCCAACCAAAAAGCGAGGAAUGCCAACAUUAAGACUACGCUGGCCUGACUUAUCCAGAAAACGAAUUAGCUCACCAUUCUUUACAACAUGAGAACUUUUCUCAUGGUGUUUGAUUGCGAGGAAAAACAUGUUUCGGUGUGGCCAUCCACCCAAGAGGCAAAAUCACUCACAGAGAGUUACUACUCUUUGACCGAAAAUGAAAGGAACAAGAGGGCUGUUGAUCCAGCCUCAUUCAUCCAGGCCAAUAUCCAAAAGAUUGAGUAGAAAAUAGCCAAUACUAUGUAGGCUAUCAAAGAGUUGGAGAGGGAUCAUCUCUUGUCGGAACUCAAUCGUGGUCUUCAAGGUUUAUAAGUUUUAUAAAGAAUUCCAAAAAAUGGUUGAGAUUAAGUCUUUGGGAAACAAUGCGUUUGUUAUGGCUAUUGAUACUUGAUUCUCGGUUUCGGCACGUGAAUUUAAAAAAUGUCUUGAAAACUCUAUUUAAUUCACCAAUGUAAUGACAUAUGAUGGUAUUCAAGGUAGACAAUGUUAAUGGAAGUAGUAUUGAGACAAUGUCUGAGUUUUCUAAGGGUUGUUUCCAAAUAUUUAUUCCUAAUUUUCUCUUAAUCUUGUUUAGGUCAUAUCUACUUUCUUUGUAAUCCUAAAUAAAAAUUAAAAACCCCUCUAUAAUUUCUCUUCACUUUUUUUUAGACAAAGCGUAUAAUCAUGAAGAUGUAUAAUAUCAAGCACGAGUACUUCUAUUUGGUGACCAUACCUGUACCGGGGACCUUUUUGAAACGAGAACUCUAUAGGGAUUAUAUGGGGCCGUUCUUGGAGGAAAAUAACUUCGAAAUUUUGAUAGUUUCACUAAAUUCAUUUCAUUCCUAGCACUCUUAUGAUAAGCAUAUAUAUUUUUUUGGUUUUCUACUUUUUAAAGGAUUUCCCCUCUUUACUUUUUUCUAUUAUUUUUUCUAAUCACUUUUCACUCUAGAUUUAUUUUUAAUUUUUUUAUUGAGUUACCCAUGCCGUAGCCAUAUCUAUUAAUUUUGAUCUUGCCAUUUUCUGUACCCGUUUCCGUACUCUUUUCUAGUUCUCGUACUCAGUUUAGUGCUACUUGAAACUCUUCAGUUGACAAUGAAAUGACUAUGCAGGGUCAUCAUCAGUUGGGUUUGUGUCCUUAUUGAUUGGUGAUGGGUGUAAGCUAAGUGUCAUGGCCACAUCAUUCACAUUUUUGGGCAUUCUUUAGGAUGUGCUAUCGCCUCGUUACUGGGAAUUUGAAUAUUUUUCUAUUAAUAAAAGGUUGUAUACUUUCAUGGAACUUAACUUUCAUUUCUGAUUAUUUUCCUCUCUUUUUUUUUCAUGGUAGCUUCGUUGCAGAUUUCAUAAGCGAUAUGUAUAUGUUAUAUACCACUAGCGAGUUAAAAAAUAAAUACCUAAAACACAUGAUUAAUCUACUACAAUAAUGUUUUAGCGUUUUAUAUUUAUUUUAGAAAAUCGAAAGCAUGUUCAGUAUUUAUCCUCUAUAUUGUCAUUCAGUUAUUUCAUCAUUCCAUUAAACAUACCACUUGGGCCUUAUGUAAAUUUAGUCAAUUUUAGUAUCAGAAAAAUCUACUCAUCUUUUGUUUUCGAAAGAGGAAAAAAAAAAUCUAGUUAAUUCAUAACAAAUUUUCCAUACAAAGUGUGAAAAAUGAUAAUCAUGAAUGCUAUUAAUGGUAAAAAAUCCAAUGGAAUAAGAAAUGAAUAAAAUGUAUUUGCUAAUAUAUUCAAGAAAGUUGGAAGUUUAUCAAACGUUCCCAUUAUUAAUUGACUUGAUAAAAACAAACUAACAAAGCCCUCAAGGUCUUAUCUCUAAGAGAUGUCUCGUUGACACUCAUGGGAUCAAAAUCCAUCUCAAUCCUAAAAGACAUAACUUUUUUACCACCUUAUGAAAGAAAUUUAUUAGGCUUGGUUUUGCAUAGGUUAUCAAGUUCACAACCACAGUUGAUUUCUUACAUGAGAUGAUCUAUCUCCAAUUCCUUGAUAGCCUUCAGAGUAUCGGCUAUUUUCCUAUCAAUCUUUUUGAUACUUGUGAGGCUAUUAAGGAGUUGGAGAUGAGCCGUCUGAUGUUGAACUCAACCGUGGUCAUGUACGUGCUAACCUUUGCGUAACCGAGAUUGAAAAAUUGCUAUCAUAUACUGCUAAGAAAGUUAUGUCUUUCAAGAAUGAGAUGGAUCUUGAUUCUAUAAAUGUUGACGAGGCAUAUCUUCGAGAUGCAGCCUUGAGGGCUUCCAAUGUUCCAUCUCCUGGGUGGCGGCGGAAUAGUUCUAACGUGAUUAAAACUGCAACGGUCUAUUAUUAUGAUAAUUGGGGGGUCUCUCAUGAGAUUUGUUUAUAUCAUAUCAAGACGCGGUAUCUACACGGAAAAAUACUAAUUUUUCUUCUUACAAAGGUUCAUAAAAAUUCGUUCAACAUUAUAACAUUAUUUGACUUAAAACAUGUGGAGAUAAUUUCAAGUUGAUCGUUACUUUCUUGAUAUAUUAUCUUUGGAUUUUCCUAUAUAUAAUUUCACCAUUAUUCUCUUGGUAUAUACACACAUAAAAAAAAAAAUAAUAACAUACAAAAU
rnacentral:lncRNA from 1 species